rnacentral:rRNA from 1 species
AUAAUACUCCAUAGAUUAGAGACACUGGAAUGCUCUUUAGUCGAAAGUUCUGGCGCCUUAGGAUGGAUCUGCGGUCGAUUAGGUUGUUGUUGGGGUAACGGCCCAACAAGCCUGUAAUCGAUACGGGUUGUGGGAGCAAGAGCCCGGAGAUGGAAUCUGAGACACGAUUCCAGGCCCUACGGGGCGCAGCAGGCGCGAAAACUUUACAAUGCAGGAAACUGUGAUAAGGGAACUCCGAGUGCCCGUAUACGCGGGCUGUCCAGGUGUUUAAAAAUCAUCUGAAGAAAGGGCCGGGCAAGACCGGUGCCAGCCGCCGCGGUAAUACCGGCGGCUCGAGUGGUGGCCACUAUUAUUGGGCUUAAAGCGUCCGUAGCUGGACCGAUAAGUCUCUUGGGAAAUCCGCCGGCUCAACCGGCGGGCGUCUAAGGGAUACUAUUAGUCUAGGGACCGGGAGAGGUGAGAGGUACUCCGGGGGUAGGAGUGAAAUCCUGUAAUCCCCGGGGGACCACCGAUGGCGAAGGCAUCUCACCAGAACGGCUCCGACAGUGAGGGACGAAAGCUGGGGGAGCGAACCGGAUUAGAUACCCGGGUAGUCCCAGCCGUAAACUAUGCGCGUUAGGUGU